AUUGAACGCUGGCGGCAGGCCUAACACAUGCAAGUCGAGCGGAUGAAGGGAGCUUGCUCCUGGAUUCAGCGGCGGACGGGUGAGUAAUGCCUAGGAAUCUGCCUGGUAGUGGGGGAUAACGUCCGGAAACGGGCGCUAAUACCGCAUACGUCCUGAGGGAGAAAGUGGGGGAUCUUCGGACCUCACGCUAUCAGAUGAGCCUAGGUCGGAUUAGCUAGUUGGUGGGGUAAAGGCCUACCAAGGGGACGAUCCGUAACUGGUCUGAGAGGAUGAUCAGUCACAAGGGGACGAGGGGCCGGUCCGGGACUCUGAGGGGGGCCGGAGUGGGGAAUGAUGGAGCAGGGGGGAAAGCCGGAACCAGGCAGGCCGCGUGAUGGAAGAAAGUCGUCGGAUUGUAAAGGACCUUAAGGUGGGAAGAAGGGCAGGAAUGUAAUGACGUGUGAGUUAGGGGAUUCCAAAAAGAAAAACCCCCGAAAAACUUG
rnacentral:rRNA from 1 species